rnacentral:lncRNA from 1 species
AGUGGCAAAGUGACGAGUCGACGUGGUGCAAUAUCAGUAGGAGGCUGCAAUGCACAAGGAAUAGAGGGAUUGGAGGCCAUGAGAAUUGUGGAUGGUUUUUUAAGGAAUUGAUCCGCUUAUUUUGACGGAGUAAUAUCCGUGGGACGGACAUAUAUGGAAUGACUCCGUGGAAGUUCUCUUUGGAGGAUUCGUGCAUGUUGGAACGGAUUGAGGUGUUGUUAUGCGCGAGAGGAGCGCAGAUCGGUUGGAUGCGAAGUGAGGAGUGACCCGAUUAAUGAGUGGGUCGGGUGGUCGAUCAA